CGAACGCUGGCGGCAGGCUUAACACAUGCAAGUCGAACGCAUCCUUCGGGAUGAGUGGCAGACGGGUGAGUAACGCGUGGGAAUUUACCCAGCUCUACGGAACAACUCAGGGAAACUUGAGCUAAUACCGUAUACGCCCUUUGGGGGAAAGAUUUAUCGGAGUUGGAUGAGCCCGCGUUUGAUUAGCUAGUUGGUGGGGUAAAGGCCUACCAAGGCGACGAUCAAUAGCUGGUCUGAGAGGAUGAUCAGCCACACUGGGACUGAGACACGGCCCAGACUCCUACGGGAGGCAGCAGUGGGGAAUAUUGGACAAUGGGCGCAAGCCUGAUCCAGCCAUGCCGCGUGAGUGAUGAAGGCCCUAGGGUUGUAAAGCUCUUUCAACGGUGAAGAUAAUGACGGUAACCGUAGGAGAAGCCCCGGCUAACUCCGUGCCAGCAGCCGCGGUAAU
rnacentral:rRNA from 1 species